rnacentral:lncRNA from 1 species
AUCGGCCUGGAGGCUCCCUGGCCUUCCUGCCGGGGUGGAAACGGGUGUCUGCUACCGGGGUUCGUGUGGAGCAGGAAGGGGGAAGGCGACGAGGUGGAAAAGACCGCUGGGCGCCCCGAGGAGGCGGAGCUGCUGGGAGGGGCCUCCCUCCGCCCGAUCCUGUUUAAUCUCAAACUCUAGGCCCUGGGGACGCGCCACCCUUCCCGCCGAGGAGACUGGGUUUUCCUCCCAGGGUUCUCCAAGCAAAGCCUGUCUGUGUUCCAGGCUGGUGCUGACUAGAGGAGGCAAAGCCAAAAUUAGCCCCAGGCCCUCCCUCAAGUAGUGAAGGGGCCACCGGGCCUCCCCUCAACCCGUAGGGGGUCACGGGCCCCGCCCCGCUCCCGGUCAAGACCCUGACAUUGCGGAGGGUCAGGAGGGGGGAGCGAGGAUCCGGGGCCUGGCACCCUGGGUGGGGCACCGUCCCCAGGGAGGGUUGGGCAGGCGCCCCCAGCCUCCAGCCAUCCCGCCCGCUGUGGGCGCCCCGGUGGCCGAGGAGCCAGGAGCGGCUCCCGGGGCUGUGCGCGGAGAACCCGGAAGAAGCGGAGGAGCCCCGGGCGGCGCUGAGCUGUGUCCCUGCCUGAGGGGGGCCCCAGCCCUGAGCCCGCAGCUCCAGAGGCUCCUGGGCCCUCCCCUUCUUCCCAGCACCGUCCCAGGGGGAAGGUAGCCCCCGGCGCAGGCGGGACCCUCGGCAGUCUGGCCCAAGAAACGGGGACCCUGUGGCUUCCUGUGUCUGGUGCCAUCAGGAAGUAGCCCCGAGCCAGAGCACAAAGGGCCUUUGUCCUGCCUGCCCCGCCCAGCGAGACCUCGGGCCCAGCCAGGGCUGGGGGCUGGGGGCUGGGUACCCUCUGGCCGGCUCUGCCACCAGCCGCCAGCCUGGUCCCCGGAGAGCCACACCCCCUCCCCUCCACGGUCCCCACCCGGCUGCCAUGACAAUGUCCUACCCAGCAGGAGGACCAGGCCGGAACCUUUGGCAGCCACCAGUUCCUGGAGAUUCCGACACCAAGUGCAGCCACUGUGCGGGGCCGGGUGUGGAGUGGCCCCACACCGACCAGCUCACGCCAGCUGGCAGAGCCACUGGGCCCCCUCCGUGGAGGAGGAGAGAGGCCUCGGGCGCCACGCGCUGUGCCCCAGGGCCACUCACUUCCUUGGUAGGUGGGGGAUGCCGGCCUGGGCCUCCCGAGACUUGAGCCCUGCCCCUGCCCUUGCCCCCAGAGAGACCUGUGCCAGCGAGCGUCCCAGGCCUCCCCUCCCUGAGCCUUGCACCCGGGCGGUGCGGGGGCCCUGCUGCACCCCAGAGCGGGCAUCAGCCCUCAGCCACUCCGUUAGCAAUCCUCCCCCCAGCUCAGGGCCUCAGAACUGGCCAUCCACGGAGCUCAGAGGCACCCGAGGGCCCUGGGGCCUGGGUAGGGACUGGCCAGCUCGGGGUCCUCCAGCAGCCAUACCCAGGUUCAUCCAGGAUGAAAGCAGGGCAGUGGGAACCACGUGAUUGGUUUAAAAGCAGGUGAGGGGCCGGGCAUGGUGGCUCAUGCCUGUAAUCCUGGCACUUUUGGAGGCCAAGGCAGGCGGAUCACCCGAGGUCAGGAGUUUGAGACUAGCCUGGCCAACACGGCAAAACCCCUGUCUCUACUAAAAAUACAAAAAUUAGCUGGGCAUGGUAGUGCACACCUGUAGUCCCAGCUACUCUGAUGGCUGAGACAGGAGAAUCACUUGAACCCGGGAGGUGGUGGCUGCAGUGAGCCGAGAUCGCACCACUGCACUCCAGCCUGGGCAACAGAGCCAGACUCCAUUUAAAAAAAGAAAAGCAGGUGAGGACGUGUGAGCAAGUCUGGGCCAUGCUGCCAAGCUCCCGCUUCUCCGAGCAGCUCCACACAAGGAGCAGAGGCAGCUCCAGUUCCACAGCCAGACACAGUCAUUUUCCCUCUACUCAGGAAUUAGGCAGGAUGGUGUGGGGCCUGAGUGUCACCAUGAAGCCGGGAAGCAGGUGUUCAGCCAGACGCAAAUAUUCCUCCUCAAAGCCAGGGGAGCGGCCACAGUGGAUUUUAUUAUGGGGCGACGGGGGCACGCCCAGUGCCCCGCCACUCUCCAUGUCCACAGCAGCGAGGGUGGAGGGCCCUGUGCUGUGCAGGGCAGAGCUCGGCUGCACCUGGGCCAGGACACAGCUGCCCAGGUGGGAGGAACCGUGGACGGGGCUGGGGCCUUCCUCGUCCCAGGGCUGGUGAGCUGCUCGCUCACUGUUUCUCAGUUCCAGGUAGACACAGUUUAUAAUUCUGCAGAAAACUCUGGGGCCUUUUGCCUUUGUGUUUUCUUUUUUGAGACAGGGUCUGACUCUGUGGCCCAGGCUGGAGUGCGGUGGUGCGAUCACGGUUCACCGAAGCCUCCACCUCCCAGGCUCAGCAAUCCUCCCACAGGUGGGCCCACAGGUGUGCACCACCACAGCCAGCUAAGUUUUAAAUUUUUUGUAGAGACGGGGUCUCACCAUGUUGCCCAGGCUGGUCUCAAACUCCUGGGCUCAGUUGAUCCGCCCGCCUCGGCCUCCCAAAGUGCUGGGAUUACAGGCGUGAGCCACCGCACCCGGAUGGUGUUUUACCACUGAGGUCAGAGGGCAGACGUUGCUCCAAGCGUUUCGUCUGCGGGUGGAGCUUUGGAACUGAUGGAGAAGGCAGAGUCCUGACCAGGGGCCGCCAUCAGAGCGCAGGGACGGUCGGGGGGGAUGCGCAGGGAGGAGGGAAGGGAAGGAAGGAGGUGCCAAGCCCUCCGCUCAGUGGAGGUCAGUGGAGGUUUGCUUCCUGCUCACACUGGGCCUGAUUGGGUCGGAGGGCACGCGGGGGCCGCUGUCUGUCCUCCGUGGGGCCUUGGCUUGUGUCCAAGGGAGGGAGACAGUAGAGGGACCCACGGCUCUGUGAGGCGUUCCCUGGCAUGACCUCACCUGUGUGCUCUCUCUCCCUGUCUCAGUCAGAGCUGAACCCAGGCUCCUGUGGACCAAGAGGGGGUCCAGGAAGAACUGCUCCUGGGACCCGGACAGAGCGGAGGCCGUGUGCACGAGCAGCGUGGACCAGAGGGGCCUCGGGGGCCACCUGCUCCGUCCGACCAGGCACCAGUCCUUCCAGACUCGCCUGAGGAUGCCCGUGGGCCCCAGCGACACCUGGGGUGCCCCCCACACCCCUGCACCUACCUGAGACCAAGGGUGGUGGUGGGGCUGUGUGCCUGAGUCCUGGCCCUCCCAGGGCCACCCUCAGGAGCGGCUGCACAGGCUCUGGCUGGCCGGGGCUCAGAGCAGCCCACGGAGCCAGGCCCAUCCUGGGAGGCUCAGGGCUGCAGCCCAUGGACUCAUGAGGGGGGCUUCUGGGGUCUAAGGCCAGAAGUGACCUUUCUUCUCACGGAGGCACCCCCACAUCACAGGCCCCAAGCUCCCACCAGGAGUCCCCAGGCAGCAGGUUUUCCACCACAGCCGGGAAGAGCCCCGCCUUCACCACCCACCACCAGCCAAUCCCGAGACCACCGAAGCCCCCAGACCGGGCCCUUUGCCCCUCCUGCCCCCCGGCUCUCCCUACUGCCCAGAGCCUCCGCCAGCACCCAGGGACCCACGUCCACCUCCCAGAGCGGCCCUGCCCAGGGUCCUUCCCUGCCCUCCACGAUUCUCCGUGGCCCUUGGAGAAAGAGCAGCUUCUCCCCAGGCUCUGCCCCCAGCCCUUCCACCCCAGAGCCUCUGCCCAGACGUCCCGUCCCAUCCCGGGGGGCUGUCACGCUUCCGCCCCACCUCUCGCCCAUUCCCGGACAGUCACAGCCGUGGAACAACGCAGCGUGUGGACACAGCCCCAGGGAAGCUUGACUCUGCCUGGUCCCCAUGGCGUGCGGUGGCUCACCAGCCGCCCCCAUCGCUCCAUGAAAUCUGACUACACCUGUCCCAAAAAUCAACCAGCUCCCAGGCAGGUCCCGCCGUGCAGGGGGCCAAGGGCCACACCUGGGACCAGUGAGUGAGGCGGCGUGCGGGUAGUGGGGGUGUGAGCCCGAGACGGGGGUCCAGCCUUCUCCCACUUGGAUGCCAACAGCAGACUCUGGAUUUGGAGGUGUGGGCGGUGCCUUAGUCUCCCCAGAAGACAAGAGCCCACCCGCCGGGUGUGUCCUGACCCCACCCCCACCUGCCCCACACAGACACCUGAGUGGGCAUCAGAGUGGGCCGGGCCCUGACUGUCCGGGGGAGGGACUGUUGGGGCAAGGGCAGUGGGUCAGAGGUCACCGGUGCCCCCAGGACCAGUUUCCAGCGAGAAGAGAGCCAGGAGCCCCGGGCACAGGCCCACGGUGAUGAGGCUCCUGACCGAGCUCCCAGAGCUCAUUAUGGAAAACCGUGGGGUCCGCUGGGACCUCUCUGCUGGUCGGGCUAAUUACAGACCGUUUGUCGUUUCAUUAUGGGCUCUUCCUCUGGGAGAUGCGAGAAGCAAACACUUUGCCAUGGGAGGGGCGCUUCCCGGACCGGGCGGGGGCCCUGCCCUCCCCACCCCCAGACCCCUGGUCCCCCAGGCCUUCCAAGCUCCCAAAGAAAACUUGAACCCCCACUCCAGGGGCUCCAAAGUAACCUCCAGAGCCCAGAUGGGGAUGUUCCGGGAGCUGCUGGGGCCUCUCAGCUGUCCCUGCCUCGCAGGGAGGCUCAGGAAGGCACCCACACCCCUCCCUCAUUCCCCCAGCUGUGGGUCUGUGGGGUCUCGGAGCCUCUUGCCCAUUGGGGUGGGACUGGGGGCACGUAGCUCCUCCGAGCCCCUGGCGAGGAGACCGAUCCUGAGACCCACCUGGGCCUACGGGGGGUCCCUUCAUUGCUCCAAAAUUAAGGGCUGCGGGCCUGGAGCAAAGACAGGCAGGUAUGGCCCCUGCCCUCUGUCCAUGAGAGGCCUCAGCCCCAUGGGACAGGGCACCACCGCUGCAGGGAGGCGGCGGGCAGGUUGUGACCCCUCACCCUGGGGCCACCCUACCCGCUUCUAAGGCAGCCUGGGAAGGAGCCCUGCGGAGCUGGGGGGUGGGGAGGCAGAGGUGGAGAGGCGAGAGUUGCCCGCGGCUGCCCCUACCCCUGCCCAUGUCGCCCACACUCCACACGGGCCCCACAGAAGCCUUCCCAUCCUGGCUUUUGUUCAACCUCGGUGGGCGGCAAGGUGGGGGCGGGACGGAGUCUGCGGGGCCUGCGGGGCCCGGGCCUGCGUCACCGUCACUGGCCCGCCUCCCGCCCGGCCUAUGGGAGCCCAGGGGACACACCUGUCGGGGGCCAGGAGCGGAGAUUGGCCAGCGGGAGCUCGCACCUGUGUGGGGCGGGGAGCACUGCUCCUUGUAAGGCGAGCCCCCGCCGAGCCGGCUCUUCCCUCCCGAGGCCCCCACCUCGCCACCGCCUCCCAUUGUCCCGUCGCCCUCGAAACUCUCCCAGAGACGGGCGAGUUGUCCACCUGUGCAGGUCUGAACUGACUUCCUGUGCCAGGGCCUCGCCUGAGCGGGGGCAGGAAGCUCACCCUUGCAGGUCUCCCCGCGCCAACGGACGCCCUGAGGCCUGACCCUGGCUGAGGCAGAGCACCCAGCUCCGUGGACCGGGACGGACGGGCUCAGGUGCCCCCCAUUCCUUCCGAAGCCGGUUCACACCCACCCGGGCCUGGCACAGGGGAGGCGCUGGCUGCAGGGUCGGGGCGGGAGCAGCCUCAACCCGGCUCCUGGGCCGCGGCCGCAGCAGUGGAACCUGUCGGGGCAGCAGGCCUUCUAGAAAGUUCUCUCCAGAAGCAGCCACCGCCGUCCUGAGGCACUUUGUGCGGAGACGGGAAGCUGUCGCCUCAGAGGUGGGUGCGUAGAAGGGUUUGGCCGGGUGCGAGGAUGACCGCGUCUCCCUUGGGCUCUGGAGUCUGCGGUGGGAAGGGCUUGGUUUCAGCACCCUCUGGUCAGAGGCCGGCCGAGCCCAUGGGCGGUGAGGUUGGUGCCUGGGGUCGUGGCUGGUCUGGUACAGGUGGGGCUCAGCCCGGAGAAGCUGGAGCCGGUUCCCAGGCCCCGCGCUAUGACUGGGGUGGGGGCAACGUCUCUCGUGAGGUUUUUUACUUAAAUGUGAAACGGCUCAGUACGGUGGCCGCAGCCGGGAACAAGGUCCGACCCACCGAGGCCCAGCCUUGAACUUGCCGCGGGGGCACCUGAACACGGUUUUACAGCCCGGAUCACUGGCUUUCUUGAAGUUUGGGAACUGAUUGAUCAUGGUGGCGGGAGGUAAGGUUCAUUGUUCUUGAUGAACAAAAUUCUUAGGGCGUGAAGAGCCGAUGCUUUAAUUAACCCCCCGGGAGCGUCUCAGGCCUCCCCCCGGGAGCGUCUCAGGCCCCGUUUACGCUGAGUGUCUGGGGAAAGACGUGGUUUGGUUUUGUUUUUCUAGUAACCCAGAUGAAAUGUUUAAAAGCAUGGUUGGCAGCACAUUGAAUUUGGCAAAAUUAAGGUUUGCAUUUGUGAAAAUGCGGAUGCAGUUUGCGGUUCUUUUCAGACAUUUUGGUAAUUUGCAAAUACUUAUUUGCGAAACGAGUUUGUCAGAACAUUUUUUAGUAUCUAGAGGAAGAUGAGAUGGGCCGAGGAGGUCGCGCACCCCUGGAUCCCUGGAGGAGCUGGUGUGUUCUCUGUGGGGCGGGUGGACGUGGCCCGGACACACGGGCCGUGCUCACAGCCGGCCUGCGAGGGCUGCAAAUCCACGCCCGCCGUGUGGGUGAAAUGGCGGCUUUGCCUCCCAGACGCGUAGCUCCGGCGACGCAGAGGGAAGAACCUGAGUGCCCGCCAGGCCGAGCUCCGCACCCCACCCCCCGGCAGCCUCUGACUCCCGGCUCGGCUCCCGCGGUCGGGGAGGGUUGGAUUUCACACUUUGUUCUCGAGGCCGCACCAUUGAUUAAGCCCGUCGGGCAGGUUAACCAACAAGUUAGGUUUUCACGCCGGGAUCACAUUCCUCGCCGGGCGCUCCCACCCCACCCCAGCCUGUGCAGGUGGGACCCGGCCAGGCAGGCGGGCAGGGCGGCCAGGUGCGCCGAGGGGCGCCUCCACGGGGAGUGUGCUCCGCAGAGAACCCCUUGCUGGGGCGGCUCUGGGCCUCCUGACUCACUCCUGGAUUUUCCCAAGCUGAGUCUGGCCCCGCGGUGAUGAUUAACCCAACACCUCAACCGGCACCGCCACGCUAGCUCCACUUCCCGGCGACGGUUGACAAGAAAGCGCCGCGUGGGGCUCUCGGAAAACAGGGAAGGUCCGUUUUCGCUUUUCAUUUCUUGACCUGUGGCCACGGUAAGACUCGGCCGCCUGCCCACCCGACUCCUUGCCCCUCACCCCUGUGCCAGGCACAAGGCCCUGCGAAAUCCUUGGUCCCCCAGCUGAGCCUGCCGGCCCAGGCCACCAUCUCCCCACCCAGCCCUGGAGCCAGGGUCGGCCUCUCCUGCUAGCUGCUCGUUGGCUUUACAGCUUCUGCACUCAGGAGGCGCCUGGGAAUCCUGCCCUGGAACUUAGGAAGGAGGCUUCUCCCACCUGCCUGCCACACGGGUCUGUCCCUGGGUCCCAGCCUCUGCCGUGUGCCCCUCAGCCUCCCGGGUGAGAACGCAAUGACUGAUGAGCCUGGGGUGGCCAGGCCAGCUCUGGCCCUGUGGGGUUCCUGAGAAGGCUGGCCCUGGGUGGCCAAGGGCCUGGGGACACUGGCCCCGGGCCCUGAACCUGGCAGUGGGAGGCCGGCCCGUCCGCCGGGUGGGCUGGGAACUGUGUUUGGCCCCAGCUGCAAGGGACGAGUGCCGGGCACCUGCUGCCCUCCCCACGUGACCUGGCAGCCAGGAAUGGAGCUGAAAUUCAACUCUGCUCUGAACGGGAAGUCUUAGUUUCCUUUAGCUCAGAAAACAGGUGAAAUUGUGUUCCUGAAGCACUGAUUUGAUGGGAUUUGAUGGCAUUGGUGGCGAAGGCCUGUGAGGUGAUGGAAAGGGAAAGCCGGGUGCCCUGGAGCCUGACAGGCUGGGGCCAGGGCAGGGGACCUGGUGUGGGGUCUCCGGAGAGGGUCCAGGCGUGAGGGAAGCUGGGUCAGGACCUCGGAGACGUGGCCUUUGGAGGAGGAGACUGGAACCGGGUGGACCCGGCAGCAGGCGGGGGCGGGCGGACACGACCUUUGUUGUGGUCGGCGGGCAGACAGGGGAAUCGGCACAGGGCCUGCGCCCCACCUACAGCCUCUGUGGGUGGAAGGUGCCAGAAAACUUGAAGAGUGGCUCUGGCCAGCUCUCUGGGCCCAGUUGGCACCAGGUGGUUGCAGAGAAAGGGUGGGAAGGAGGACAGGAAGGACGGCGCCCCCCAGCUACUGAGCUUCCCAGCGAGUCCCAUGCAACCCUCAGCCGGGCGGCCCCCGGACCCAGCUCGGGCAGCCGUGGCCAUCUUACUGGGCAGCAUUGGAUGGAGUCAGGUCUCUAAUACUGCCUGGUAAUGAUGACGGCGGAGCCCUGCACGCAGCGACCGGCCGACCCCGUCCCGGCCCCCAGGGCCUCCCGCCGAGCCCCACACUCCCCUCCCACACAGCCCGCUCACCGGACCCCACCCCGUCCGGGCCAGAUGGCUCUGGGGAGAGUGACGGGGGGACGUGACCUUCGGAAGGGGGCUGGGGCGCCCCCCACCAGCAUCUCAGAGACCCCGGAAUGCAAGGCCUCCUGCAGCUGCACCCAGGGCGCCCCACAGUGAUCUGGGGAUUAGGACGCUCAGGUGUCCGGGCCCUGCCCACAGCGCCUGGGCGGGAGCUGCUGUCACACCCAGCAGGUGCGGGCCGAGCAGGACCCAACAGAGGGCUCAGGAGGGCAAGGCCCAACCGGGAGCCACGUGGAACCCAGAGGAAGCCGCCCCACCCAGCUUGGCCACAGCCAUCUUCCCUCCUGCCGGACAGGGUGGGCCGGCCACCGAGCAGACCAGUGCCCCCGCCUUGGUCCCGGGUCAGCAGCCCCAGGGUCCCCUUGCCCUGGAGGAAGCAGGGAGGGUGGGCCUGUGUGCAGUCUCAGGGCCCCCAAGCCCCUCUCCGCCAGCCCUGUCCGGUCCCGGCACCACCCCUGGCUGCUCACCGCUCCGGUUCUUCCCUGGGCUUCCACAGCAGCCCCUGCCUGCCUGGCGGGACCCCACGUCCCUCCCGGGCCCCUGUGAGCAUCUUACCGGACAGUGCUGGAUUUCCCAGCUUGACUCUAACACUGUCUGGUAACGAUGUUCAAAGGUGACCCGCCGCUCGCCGGGGACACCACCGAGGCACAUCCGGAGCUCCUACUCCAGGGAUGGGCUGGGGCGGAGGGCCGAGCGGGGCCAGCAGACGGGUGAGGGCGGAGGGCCGAGCGGGGCCAGCAGACGGGUGAGGGCGGAGGGCCGAGCGGGGCCAGCAGACGGGUGAGGGCGGAGGGCUGAGCGGGCGGCAGAGGGCCUGUGUCAGCUCCGAAGUCCAGCCCCCAGGGGAGGGGCCGGCCUCUGCCGGGGGUGCCCCCGGGGUCACUCACGCCCAGGCUGGGUCUGACACCUUGAGGACCCCUUGGUGCCUCCACAGGUGGCCUGGAGGGCAUCCUGCUCCCCCUCCCGGAGCCGCUGUGCCUCCCCCACCCAACCUCCCAGGCUGGGUUUUAGGGUGACCUGGCUCCAGGAAAGGCCAUAGGGCUGGGAUGCCAGGGCUGGAGAGGGAAGAGCAACAGUGGCCUCUCUCACGUGGUCCGGGCUCCGUGGAGGGUCUGCUGGGGGCGCAGGAAGGACAAGGUGGGUUCAGAUUCCCGAGCCCCACCAUGCAGGGGAGCGGGGACGCUCUGCGCUUGCCCUCUGAGGGACAAGGGGUCUCAUUCCUUCCCCCAGUCAACAAGAACAGGAACUUUGUCCAAAACCCACCAGGCCAGGAUGACCCAUUGUUUCAUCUUUUCCAUCUGCAACCAGGGCGCCUGGGACCGCACCCCCACACAAGGCCCCAGCCUGGGGAGGGGGCAGCCACCGGGGAGAGGCUGCCCUUCACUGUUACUCAUUAACCCGACCGAGCUUCAGGAAGCCAGCGAGGGGCUGCAGGGAACCUUUGCCAAGAGCAGGGCCUGGGUGACCAGGUGGCUCCCGGGUACCCCCACACAGCCAGGCUGGGCUGGGACCAGGUGCUGGGAUGGGGGCUGUCAGGGAAGUGCCUCGGGGGCUCGUUCUGCAGACCCAGGAGGGAUCAGGGCAGCUGCAGGAGGUGGCAGGAGCCGCCCCCGGGGCCUUCCCUUCACAGGCCCCGCAGACACCAGCCCAGGACCCGGAGGCCACCCACACCACCGCCGGCCGAUGGGCGUCUUACCAGACAUGGUUAGACCUGGCCCUCUGUCUAAUACUGUCUGGUAAAACCGUCCAUCCGCUGCCUGAUCACCGUUAGAGGAGAGAGCUGCCUGCCCUGCAGCUCAUCAGUGCAAAGCCGCCCGGUCUGGGGCUCUCAUGCCCCCCUCACUAUGGCCUGUGCCCAUCCGCAGCCCAUCAGUGCAAAGCCGCCGGGGUCUGGGGCUCUUGUGCCCCACCCUCGCCAUGGCCUGUGCCCACCCGGCCUCCUGGGGCCCUCGAGCUGUAGUCCCCGGGCAGAUGCUGUGGACCCCGUGCUAUCAGCCUGGCCCCUGGGGUCACAGUCACAGAUACCCGGAGCCCCACCCCACAGCCCCAGCCCCCUCGCCACCUGGGGAGGCUGAGACAGAAGCAGCUGGGCCCCCCAAAGUGCCUGAGCCCAGGGCACGGAGGAGCACAAAUGCCCAGCAGGGACAAUGUCACAGCGUCUCAGCGGCCAGGCAGCAGGACGCAGAGACCUCUGGGAGGUUCCCGGGGCCAGCCCUGGCCCUCCUCCUCCAGGGGCCAGCCGUGGGAUGCAGACCACACUCUCCCUCCAGGGCCCAUCUCUGGGGCUGAGGCGGGCGGGGCCGGUGCCCAGCUGCAAGACCAUGGGAUAGGGAAGGCAGGUGCUUGGGGCCACGCAGCCCUGCACUGGGGGCCCCUCCACCCCAGGCGGCUCACGAGGUGUCAUCUGGAGCUGUCCCCAAGCCGGGAUCUGCAGGUUGACCUCCCCCACCCGGGGCUAUCUCCAGACCCUCUUUCCUCCCUGGGGAGAUGGGGCAGUCCCCCGCAGGGCCAGCUGAAACCACCCCCAUGCUGCUGCCGCCUGAGCGACGUGUGUGGGGAAGAACUUGGAGUGCCACCCCCAGAAUGUGGCGUCCACCUCACCAGACCGCACGGGUGAGCCCUGGACUGCAAGGUGCAUAUAACACAAGGUUUGGACACACCUGGAGAGCUCGGGCCAGGCAGGGCCACACCUGUGAGCCUGAGCUCAUCCAACACCGCCCGGAGCUCGGGGACCUUCCCCAUCCCAGCACCUCCUCACCGCUGUGCCCGUCUGGCCAGUCCCUCCAAGCACCCCUCGGAUGAAGUUGCGCCCCACACUGCAGUGGGGCUCACUCUCCACAGCGCCUGCUGCGUUGCACGGGGUGUGACAGGAAGGACCCUGCUGGGGCUGGCGGGGCCGUACCCAGAGCCUCCCUGUGCGGUUUCUCCUCCUCCUCCUCCUCUCCAUAAGCACCGGGAACAAAACAGAAAAAAGUCUUUGUAUAGUAAUAAAGUCUGCAGUUCACGCACCCAUGCUUGGACCAGCUCCUUAUUUUAACCACACGUGCACAGACCCCCGCCGUGCAAAGGGCCCAGCUGAGGACAGAACCCCAGACACUGCAUCCGGCCCCGGAGGCCCCCAAGGUUCCUGGGAGAGGCUCCCUCCCUCCCUUCCCUCCUCUUUCCCUCCCCCUCCUCCUUCCUCUCCUCCAUCCCUCCUUCCCCCUCCUCCCUCCUCCUCCUCUCUCCGUCCCUCCCUCCCUCCUUCUUUUGCUCAGGAAUCUUCCCUGACUCUCCUGUGGUCAGCUCAGGUCAAGGUUCUGGGGGAAGGGGGAGUCCCUGAGUGGAGACACCUCAGCCUGUGCUGAAGGGAGCUACCGAGGGGGCAGCCGGUGGCCCUGGGGGGCCUCUCUGAGCAGGUGACCAAGAGCGUAUGGUGCCGGCCAGCAGGAGCGAGGGCUGCGGACAGGAUGGAGGCAGCCAGGCGCCAGCCAGGAGGGCUUCCUGGUCCAGCCACACCUGCCCCGGUGACAGCCACAGGUUGGUGGCAAAGGGGCCACCUCCCUUCCAGUGGCAGGGCCUGGCCUGCCUGGAGACCCCACCCACUGCCCGAGAGGUGCCAGGCCUCCCCCAUUCUGCCUGGCCCUGGGGGCUGCACCCACCUGGAC